GAUGAACGCUGGCGGCGUGCCUAAUACAUGCCAGUCGAGCGAACAGACGAGGAGCUUGCUCCUCUGACGUUAGCGGCGGACGGGUGAGUAACACGUGGAUAACCUACCUAUAAGACUGGGAUAACUUCGGGAAACCGGAGCCAAUACCGGAUAAUAUAUUGAACCGCAUGGUUCAAUAGUGAAAGACGGUUUUGCUGUCACUUAUAGAUGGAUCCGCGCCGCAUUAGCUAGUUGGUAAGGUAACGGCUUACCAAGGCAACGAUGCGUAGCCGACCUGAGAGGGUGAUCGGCCACACUGGAACUGAGACACGGUCCAGACUCCUACGGGAGGCAGCAGUAGGGAAUCUUCCGCAAUGGGCGAAAGCCUGACGGAGCAACGCCGCGUGAGUGAUGAAGGUCUUCGGAUCGUAAAACUCUGUUAUUAGGGAAGAACAAAUGUGUAAGUAACUAUGCACGUCUUGACGGUACCUAAUCAGAAAGCCACGGCUAACUACGUG
rnacentral:rRNA from 1 species